rnacentral:rRNA from 1 species
CUACGGGUGGCUGCAGUGGGGAAUAUUGGACAAUGGGCGAAAGCCUGAUCCAGCCAUGCCGCGUGUGUGAAGAAGGCCUUCGGGUUGUAAAGCACUUUCAGUGGGGAAGAAAGCCUUGGGGCUAAUACCCUCGAGGAAGGACAUCACCCACAGAAGAAGCACCGGCUAACUCCGUGCCAGCAGCCGCGGUAAUACGGAGGGUGCGAGCGUUAAUCGGAAUUACUGGGCGUAAAGCGCGCGUAGGCGGUCUGAUAAGCCGGUUGUGAAAGCCCCGGGCUCAACCUGGGAACGGCAUCCGGAACUGUCAGGCUAGAGUGCAGGAGAGGAAGGUAGAAUUCCCGGUGUAGCGGUGAAAUGCGUAGAGAUCGGGAGGAAUACCAGUGGCGAAGGCGGCCUUCUGGACUGACACUGACGCUGAGGUGCGAAAGCGUGGGUAGCAAACAGGAUUAGAUACCCUAUAGUC